UCAGUGGGGACCUCAUGGCUCUGCACAACUCCCUGACAGGAGGGGGCAGCUGGUGAGGGGGGUGGUCAGGCUCUGCUUCCAAGUAAUAAGCGACAGGAUGAGGAGAAACAGCCUCAAGUUGUACCAGGGGAGGUUUAGGUUGGAUAUUAGGAAGAAUUUCCUCCCAGAAAAGGUUGAAAACCAUUGGAACAGGCUGUCCAGGGAGGUGAUGGAGUAAACAUCCUUGGAGGGAUUUAAAAGGACACGUAGAUGUCACACAUGGGGAUAUGGUUUAGUGUUGGCCUUAGCCAUGCUGGGUUAAUGCUUGACUUGAUGAUCCUUAAGGUCUGUUCCAACCUAAACCAUUCUUUAAUGUCAGAAGCACUGGAAGUAUUUAUUAGCAUUUGCUGAAAUCGUGCUGCUUUCCACUUGUUCCGUCUUUUUUUGCUCAAGAUGUGAAGCAGUUUAAAGUAGCAUACACUUCAUAACUGAGAACUUUGGCAUUUUGGAGAUGUUACAAUACAUAAGAAUAGAAUCUUUUCAGAGGAGUCUUUUCAUUGAUGUGCCAAUUUUUAGAAUAAACUAUUUUUACAAAAUCAGACUAUUUUCUUUAGAGAGUACUGCUUUGAAGAGUAUUGUUCAGCAAAGAGGGGUUAGGUUAAUCUUUGUGCAGGGAUGCCAAAGAGAAUGUGGAGGGAGAUCUGAUUUGAAAAGGCAAAGUUCUAGUUCCAGGUACAUCUCUAAAUUUGGAAAGCUGUCACCAGUGCUGUGCUUAGAGAAAAGAAAAAUAAAAGUACCAAAGAAAUUUCUUGUGCCUAUCUAGUCACAUUUCCAUGGUGAUGACCAACAGCAUUGAACUCGGUUUGAAAUCCACCUUCAUUGCAAAUGUGCUAUACCUUGAAAGCUAAAAUUAGUAUUUUCUUUAACACUGAAGAAUUAAAACACCCCAGACUCUGGACAAAGUAGAAGUCCUAUUCCUUACAUGUUACACUGAAACAUAGUGUUCAGUUAUAAAUGCUUGGGGUAUUCACUUGGUGUCUCAUUUUUUUGUAGCUUGAUGUCAUGGAUUAACUUGAAGCUGCCAAUUAACUAGAUAACAAUCAGCUAGUUAUCAAGCAACACCAGCACAUGCUGCCUUUCCAUGUUUUUUUGAAGUUUUGGAUGUCUUUUUGAAUAGGUGUAAUUGUGUAUUUUAGAUCACACGAACCAUACAGAAUGGGAUUGUGGUAUGGAACCGUGUUGCACAUCUGUGAAAUUCUGCCUGAAAACUGGCUAUUCCUAGCCCAAGUCAAUGUGAAAAUAUGCUUAGACUAAGUUUUUAACAAGUUUACAAAUAGAGGGGAAAAUACAUUGUUUUGUAUUCAUUUUCAGAGUUAAAAGUAACACUAUUAAAAUUUUAAAAAUAUUUUCUUGUCUGAACACCUUAAAAGUAAUACACAACACACAAUACACAAAAAAAAUGUUUAUUGUUGUGAAACAGAACGUAAGUUAUGCCGACAGAAAUCCUGUUUUAUGCACCAUGAAAACAAAACUUUGUGUUUAAAGGUAUCAAAGGCUGCUGAAGAAUGGGUGCUCAAAAGAGCUCCAUACUGAAUAUCUACAUGCAAGUAUUCUGAGAACUACAUUUCGUAACACAGAAGAAGAUAACCAGUUGCUCAGGGUUUAACCUGUAUUCUGUAGGAGACAUUAAUACAGUGUGUCCAGGAUGCCUUAAAUAAACAAUUCCCAGCUUUCAUGCUCUAUCUCGGGUAAACUUCUUUGUGUGAGAAUUUUGUUAACUUCUUAUAACCGUUCUGGUAAAGUGUGUCAGAUUCAGCACAGCUGCACAGAUGAACUAGUUGUAUCUAAUUUUGUCAUUAACCUGGUAAAAUUAGAAGAAGCUGCCUUGUGCCUGUAUAAAAUAAGUUGUUCAGAAGUUGCUUUAUCAGCUCAAUUCUUGGGCUAGAAGGGCAUAUUCCUGAUUAAUCCAAUUGCUGUUCUGAAUAGUUUCUAUUAAGUACAACCAGUUUCUGUAAAAAGAAAAACCUUAAAAUUUGCUUCAGGAUCACAACUGAAGUUUCUUUAGACAAUAAAUGCUAUUUGCUUUCCUCUUCUGUUUUUUCUCCAUUUCAUUUCUUUGGAAAAAAGUGGAAAUAGGAGGGUGUCACACAAGCAGUACCAUCAUCUGAAAUGUGAUUCUUCAGUGUAUUAUUAGGCAAGACAUAGUUGUUCAAGAAUUCCAAACAUCUGUCUUCUGUAGGAAUCUGAAUCUGCUCAGCAUAAGGGCAGUGCUGAAAUCUAACAUCUUCCAACAGUCUAGACAGUGAAUGCAAGAUUUACUCAGAGUGAAUACUCUUAAUUUAUAAGGUGAUCCUCAUUUCUGAGGUCUAAGUGAAGUCUUAAAAUGAGUAGCAACAGAGAAACAGCAUUUGACACCAAGAUGGGAAUCAAAAAUGUGUUGUAAAUAGUAAUUUGCAUUUGUUCUGAUAAAACUGCUCUGUUAAGCAAUCAAAAGCCUUUUGUGAAAUGCAUGAAAUUGUUCAGCAAGGAAUAGAUAGUAAUAUGAAGGCUGACAGAGAAAUACAUUAAUAUUCCCAAGCAAGAACAGCCUAUUACACACUGAUCUGCCAGUGGGCUUUAUCUACAGUCGGGAAGUAGAAUAUGGUGAUCAAAAUGACAUCCCAAAUAAAAACUGCUGCAAUCUAGUGUGAUAAAUAGUUUAUGCACAACAACCUGCAGCUGGGCUGCAUGACCCCAGGUGUUGAUAAGUGCUGGUGGGUGAGAGGCUGGACACAGCCAGCCUCCAGCCAAACGUCCUGAGCUCAUCCCAUAGCUCAUGGGCAGCAAGGAAAGAGGGAUUCUGCCCCUCUGCUGUGCUCACGUGAGACCCCACCUGCAGAGCUGCCUCCAGCUGUGGGGUCCCCAGUGCAGGAAAGACAUGGACCUGUUGGAACGAGUCACCAAAAUGGUUAAAGGGCUGGAGCACCUCUCCUAUGGAGAUCGGUUGAGAGAAUUGGAGCCUCGGGAGAUCUCAUAGCAGCAUUGCAAUACCUAAAGGGGGCUUAUAAGAAAGAUGGGAACAGACCUUUUAGCAGGGCUGUAGUGAUAGGACAAGGGGUAAUGGUUUUAAGCUGAAGAAGGGUUGAAUCAGACAGUAUUAGGAAGAAGUUAUGUUGAGGGUGGUGAAACACUGAAGCAGGUUGCCUAGAGAGGUGGUCGGUGCCCUGUCCCUGGAAACAUUCAAGAUCAGGUUGGAUGAGGUGCUGAUCUAGUCAAAAAUGUCCCUGCUUAUUGCACGUGAGUUGGACUAGAUGGCCUUUAAAGGUCCCUUCCAACCCAAACUAUUCUGUGAUUCUUUGAUUCUAUGAAGAAAGGCUUCUUCAGUGUUGUUGAAGCACAUUAUCAGGGGGGUUGAGGCAGCCUUACAGGAAGCUGAUACUGCCAGUGCCAUGUAGUUCUUUUGAACGGAACUAAAGGGCAAAAAAGGAAGAAACAUGCAUCUAAAAGAAAGAAAUAUGCGUCUACUCUGUUGUCUUUGGCUGAAAUUUUAUCAAGCUCUCUGGCACAUUUUUCUGCAAUAAAUUAGAUAAAAAUUUUUCUAGUUGUAGUCAUUUCAAUCAGAGUCACCUUUAGCUUGGUCAAAUUUUCUCCUCCCCCUUAAAAGAAGAGUGUUAUCAGACAGUUGAAUGUCAAGGCUAGGUUAGAUGGAUUUGGUUUUUAAGUUGGACUUUUUCACGGCCAAAUUUGGAAUAAAACUACUGGAAGAUACUUUGAUCUAAAGCUUUUUGGCACACAUUCUGUUUUCUGAACAUAAUACCCAUUUAUGGUCGUAGGGUGUUUAGGAAUUACGUGGAAGUAUUUUUGAGUGUCUUUCAGUGGAAUUUGAGAAUACCUUUAAGGCACUUAACAAGUAGAUUACACUGAGCAAGAUGAAGAUACAAACUUAUGUGGUUCUAUUGUCAUAGCAGAAAAAUCCAAGGUGAAGAAAUUAGUUUUAUUUUGAAGAGAGUACAGUUUCAUGGCCACUGCUUUGUCACAUGAGUGACUUCUGCAGCUCAAAUAUUGUUUGUGUGAAAACUUUGCUCUUUUUACUUACUGCUAUCCAUCAUGCACCAAAGCCUGGUUCUGACUUUCCCAAAGUGAGCUGUUUUCCUGCAAAGGGAGGCAGUUGUUCUCUGGUGUUUGCUUUCUAGCUCCAGGAGGCUUAAAACAGCAGGGGAGAGAGAGGCUGAGUGCUUUAUUUGAAAUUUUCAGGCUGAGCCGAGGGAAAGAGCGUGGGAGCGAGACCCAUCUCUUUGGGCAGCUGGGGCGUGUUCUUUGGCUGCAGUCCAAUUACCCAAUGUAAUUUUAGUUGCCUUUAAUUCAGUAUACCAGGUGAAUGUUAAGGAAAACUCUCCUGUCUGAUCAUUCAGAUGCUUCUCUGGGAGUCACACUCAUUCUACCCAAGACUUUUAACUGCUGGAACUGAAGCAAUGUUGGAAUUUGGAAUCAAGUAACUAAUGUUCCAAUCAUUUGGGUAUCUUCUCCUGCAACUAGUACACAUGUGCUUUAUAUUUAUCCUGGAUGUUAUGGAUUAAAAAGUUCAGGAUCAGGUUCGAUUCUUCUGAAACCCUCUCUCCAAAGUGUGAUCCAGAUGUCUUGUAGCUGGCUGAUGUUUAGAACUGUCUUGCCAAAAGAAUGGUUCCUUAGAAAUCAAAUGUGUUGAUGAUUUUUUCCUUCCCUUAUCAUUACCUAAAUCUCCUGCUUAUAUCAGACUGAAGUUUUGUUUGAGUACGUUUGGCAGGAGUUGGAUCAUAACUGAGUUUAGAAGAAGCUGGAACACAAGGGCUGUUAAAAAACCAAAGUUUCAAGGCUGGUGUCUAUUAAGCAAGAAGAUACAGAUGCUAAAGAAUUUACCAAAAUCCAAUAAAAAAUUAGUGCUAAUACUUCAGGAAAGCAGUGAAUUUUCAGAAAACAAAUGCAGGCAUUGGUAUUGAGAGUAUCUGCUGUAUACAGACACAGGAACCAAGUUUCCAAGUUGUGCAUUGAUGUGAUGGUGGUCUUAUCCUCAAAUGCAAACAGAAUGGAGCACAAGGUUAAUGAGCUUCAGACCAAGCUGAAGCAGGAACACAGGGACUCAGGACAAAGUAGAGUAACUCCUGGGAAUGCUGUGCAGCAUCUUAUUACAUAUUAUAGCAAGAGGAGGGAACCCAGACUGCUGUCAAAAAUUAACUGGGAAUAUGGUUCUAACACCAGUACAGCCUUAUUGUUGCUGACCUGAGAGAUGACAUGCUGCAUUCUUGAGUCUGUACCUGGUCUGUAUGGAUGUCUAUGAAAUCAGAGCAUCAAUACUGUAAGAAAAAGCAAUGAUUAAGAAGGUCAAGCUGGGUAAGACCCCUGGGGAUACGUUUGCAGCAUGAACUACAAGAUUGUGAUCAGGCAUUUCAAGUUAUUAAAGAGAAUGUGCUUCUGAUACCUUUAAACAGUGCUGAUUUUUAAUUUUCUUUUUUUACCCAGGGUGAAACAAUGUGAAGAAGAGUGGGGUCUGAGCACUUCAUUAAUGGCAGAAAAAAAAAUAAAUGAGGGUGUUGAAAAUUAUUCUCCUGGUAAAAUGCAUCUUGGCUUUUAGGCAUGCAGUAAAAUAGUCAUGUCAAGCAACACAGAACUUAACAACCUCUAGUGUGGGCUUCUUACUGCUCAUCCAGGGGCAUCAGACCAGUGAAUGUGCUAGAUCUUCUUUAUUCUGAAAGGAAAGAACAAAAAAGUUCUUUUUUGAAUAAAAUUUUUGGGUUGGCUUUGCCACAGAGAGUGACUGACUCAGUAGGUCAAGACUGUUGGCUAAAGACAAGCAGAAGAAAGAGGAGAACACUGCCCAUCACAAAGUCUGUAAAAUCAACUCGACCCUGAUGCAUGUGGAACAAUUUUUGUGUAGUAGAGCAGUGUCGAAUGAAACUGACCCUGUCACACGGGGAAAGGCGCUGACAGUCUUUUUGGGAAAUUACAUCUGGAUCACGAAGGAUUGGCUUCACCCACCUUCCAUGACCAUAGCAUCUUCCCUACCAGGAAAACAAAAGGCUCCUGGGUUGGAGAGGCCGUUGGGCUGAUGCUGUAUUGCAGCAGCAGUGUUUAUAUUUGCUUCUGAAAGGUGGGCAUUUGUUUUGUUAGUGUGUCCUGUCUUAUAAAACAAAAGUCCUUCUCUUGCCUCUGUGCAGUUCAUUAUUUGUAGAAUGCUUUCAGGAGCCCAGAUGAAGGGGUAUUUUAGAUGCAUUAAUUAUUAGUGUUAAGCACAGCUGCUUUGUCUGAGGGCGUUCUUCCAGCUGAAAAUGGGUUUGACUGCAAGGAAAUGUAUUUCCAAGAAGACUGUAUUGGUUUUUAGUCUGGGAAGCAGAGAAAGCAAAUAAAGCUAUUUUGUUAAAAAAAAAAAAAAAUUCAGGGGUGAAAAUUAUUUCCCCCAUUAUUUUAAUUGGAUGUAUUAUUGCUUAUGAAAAACUGUUAUUUAAUUCAUCAUGGGGAAAUGGUCAAACACUUUAACAAAAUGAAUAGUUAUUGGAAAAAAGUAAUUUCCUCAGUUACUUUCAAUCCAUUUGCUUAGGUAUGGACAUGAAAUUUUCUUUGAAGCUGUCAUUCAGAAAGCAGACUUUGAGUUUAAUGAAGAGUUUCAGCAAAUACCUGCUUUGUGUGUAAAAAGCACUCACUUUUUUUUCUGGCAAGACAAUUUUUCUUUAAGGCUCAUCAUACUACAGUUGGAAAUUUUCUGUGAUUUUGUUUGCUUUCAAAACAGGGGUUUGAAAGCUUGGAUGGUGGGGAGAGAAAUUCUUAUCUAUCAGGUUGUGAUCAUGUAUUAAUAUUACUGAUGACUUGCCUUACUGUUUAGGUUGCAGACAAGAGUUUUAUUUCUAUACUCUGAUCAUAAAAGAGGUUUUAGUAUUUUCUGAUAUCAGCCACAUUAAAAUAAACAUUGUUCUCCUGUUGGAGGGCCUCAAAAAGCUUCAGUCUGAAAAAAAAGAAUUUUUUAAUCUUAUUUACAACAGUCACAUCCUUUUUGCUUUCUAGUGUUAAGCUGAUGCUAAAAGUACCUUUUAAAGCCUAUCACAUAAGUGCAAUUAAUAGGGAGAGGUUAUUGAUUCUUAAAAAAACUUGUAGGAACUAGGAACUUAUGCCAUUGAGCUUCUCAUUUUUUAAGAACAGAGCAUCUCAAGCAAGUGGGGAAAGCCACUUUGUUUGUCUGGCUUGUGCUUGGUGUUAUGGAAACACAAACACUCUUGAAAAACAAAGCAAUACAGGAAGUGUUGAAAUAGGCACGGGUGCAGUGCUAAGCUUCUGCUUCAGCAACGAGGGGGAACAUCAGCAGGGAAAUUUUGUUAUUCUUUGGUCCUUGGUGCCCCACUCAAGGGUAUUACCUGAUGGUUCUCAGGGCUGUGACUUGUGUGAUAGGAAAAGCUGUAGAACCUGGUAAAUGUCUUCCUUGGAGUCAUGGCUGGGAGCUGUGUUUAGCAUUAGCUGAGCAACAGAUUGGCCUGGAUAUGGACAGUGAAAAGCCAUGGGUCACUCUGCACUGCUCUCUUGGAUCUAAUUAGAGCACCUUACAUGUUGUUACAUUUGUCUUGUAAUGUUUACCAAAUCUGUGAAGAUUGAACUAUACAAUUGGAUCUGAUGAUCUUAAAGGUCUUUUCCAACAUAAAUGAUUCUAACAGAGUAAAAACCUCUCCUUUUUUUGCUUGGUGUUACUGUGCCUCAUAUUAUUGUGGCUAGUGGGUGGGUGUGCAGAAGUUUUCACACAGCCAAUAAAUGCAGGACAGUUCAGCACAAAGAGCACUCCAAGGUAACCUGUGAAAUGGCCUGAAUGCUGUUGUCUGGAGAGCUUGAUGUAAGCAGUUCUGCCAUCUGCCAGAACUCUUUGCCAAAUUAAUUACAGAUCAACUGUGAGAAAGUUCGAAUGACCAUUACCAACCAUGGUGGCAUUCCCCUAGCAAAAAUAUUGUCCCCAUGUGCCCCAAAAACAUUUAAGGUGUAUUGUAAGUAGAAAGAUUGGAAAAUGCAGAUCCUGUUUCCAGUUCUCUGUGUUUAGGCAUUGGCAGUGCAUAGAUGCAUCUAUGCUCAUUUAAAGCUUUGGCCUGAGCACUUAACAGAGGAUGCUUGGAAAGAUGCUGAACACAUUUAAUGUUUCAUUCCCCUUGGAUGUGCAAAUUUCCAAAGCUGCUGUGAUAAUCUUGGCCUGGAGAUCCAGCAUGGAGCACACUGUCUGCGGGACUGUGUGCCCUUGGCUCACAGUCAGGUGAGAAGAGGUGCUGGCUUCUGGGUUUGCAUGUGCUUCUGCUUUUAGAAACAAUUUGGGGAAGUGGAAGAACAGUUCUGCAGAGCCAUUACAGUCUCUUCUGUACAUGAUGUUUGGGCACAUUUUAGAGCCUUUAUUUCCUCAGCCAUGAAAUCUUCUUUGAGCGGUUGCAUUCUGUCUUGUAAGUACUCUAGUCAAGGCUUUUCCAGCAUGUGUUUACAAGCCUCUGUGGGUGUGCUUGCCAUAGUAAUUCCUGGCUACACUUUAUUGUGAACGUCUUGAUACUCACAGGGUUUGGAGAGAGAAGCAGCAUUCCAAGUGGGAAAUGACAUCCACAGUUCCCAGUGGCAUGGACCAAAGCCAAAUGCCUAAGCCUUCUUUAGAAUGUCUUCCUCUUUGUAAGGCGUGUGCAUUCUUAGUAUUUUCUCUGUUCGUAAUAAAGUUGUGCUACUUCCAUCAA